AGAGUUUGAUCCUGGCUCAGGACGAACGCUGGCGGCGUGCUUAAUACAUGCAAGUCGAGCGAGGUUACUGUUUUGGAUCCCUUCGGGGUGAAGAAGCUUUAACCUAGCGGCGGACGGGUGAGUAACGCGUGGGUAACCUACCCCAAAGUCCGGGAUAACAGCGGGAAACCGCUGCUAAUACCGGAUGUCUUUACCUUGGGGCAUCUUGAGGUAAAGAAAGGUAACGCUUUGGGAUGGGCCCGCGUCCCAUUAGCUAGUUGGUGAGGUAACGGCUCACCAAGGCGACGAUGGGUAGCCGGCCUGAGAGGGUGGACGGCCACACUGGGACUGAGACACGGCCCAGACUCCUACGGGAGGCAGCAGUAGGGAAUAUUGCGCAAUGGACGGAAGUCUGACGCAGCGACGCCGCGUGAGCGAUGAAGGUCUUCGGAUCGUAAAGCUCUGUCCUUGGGGAAGAAGGCGAAAGCUUGACGGUACCCAAGAAGAAAGCCCCGGCUAACUACGUGCCAGCAGCCGCGGUAAU
rnacentral:rRNA from 1 species